AAACCAACAGGGAUUGCCCUAGUAACGGCGAGUGAAGCGGCAACAGCUCAAAUUUGAAAUCUGGCCUCGGCCCGAGUUGUAAUUUGCAGAGGAAGCUUUAGGCGCGGCACCUUCUGAGUCCCCUGGAACGGGGCGCCAUAGAGGGUGAGAGCCCCGUAUAGUUGGAUGCCUAGCCUGUGUAAAGCUCCUUCGACGAGUCGAGUAGUUUGGGAAUGCUGCUCAAAAUGGGAGGUAAAUUUCUUCUAAAGCUAAAUACCGGCCAGAGACCGAUAGCGCACAAGUAGAGUGAUCGAAAGAUGAAAAGCACUUUGAAAAGAGGGUUAAAUAGCACGUGAAAUUGUUGAAAGGGAAGCGCUUGUGACCAGACUUGCGCCGGGCGGAUCAUCCGGUGUUCUCACCGGUGCACUCCGCCCGGCUCAGGCCAGCAUCGGUUCUCGCGGGGGGAUAAAGGCCCUGGGAACGUAGCUCCUCCGGGAGUGUUAUAGCCCGGGGCGCAAUGCCCUCGCGGGGACCGAGGUUCGCGCAUCUGCAAGGAUGCUGGCGUAAUGGUCAUCAGCGACCCGUCUUGAAACACGGACCAAGGAGUCAAGGUUUUGCGCGAGUGUUUGGGUGUAAAACCCGCACGCGUAAUGAAAGUGAACGUAGGUGAGAGCUUCGGCGCAUCAUCGACCGAUCCUGAUGUUUUCGGAUGGAUUUGAGUAGGAGCGUUAAGCCUUGGACCCGAAAGAUGGUGAACUAUGCUUGGAUAGGGUGAAGCCAGAGGAAACUCUGGUGGAGGCUCGCAGCGGUUCUGACGUGCAAAUCGAUCGUCAAAUCUGAGCAUGGGGCGAAAGAC
rnacentral:rRNA from 2 species